AUUGAACGCUGGCGGCAUGCCUUACACAUGCAAGUCGAACGGUAACAGGUCUUCGGAUGCUGACGAGUGGCGAACGGGUGAGUAAUACAUCGGAACGUGCCUAGUAGUGGGGGAUAACUACUCGAAAGAGUGGCUAAUACCGCAUGAGAUCUACGGAUGAAAGCAGGGGAUCGCAAGACCUUGUGCUACUAGAGCGGCCGAUGGCAGAUUAGGUAGUUGGUGGGAUAAAAGCUUACCAAGCCGACGAUCUGUAGCUGGUCUGAGAGGACGAUCAACCACACUGGGACUGAGACACGGCCCAGACGCCUACGGGGAGCAGCAGUGGGGAAUUUUGGACAAUGGGCGCAAGCCUGAUCCAGCAAUGCCGCGUGCAGGAUGAAGGCCUUCGGGUUGUAAACUGCUUUUGUACGGAACGAAAAGCCCUGGGUUAAUACCCUGGGGUCAUGACGGUACCGUAAGAAUAAGCACCGGCUAACUACGUGCCAGCCGCCGCAGUAAAAC
rnacentral:rRNA from 1 species